rnacentral:rRNA from 1 species
UGGGGAAUAUUGCACAAUGGGCGAAAGCCUGAUGCAGCGACGCCGCGUGAGUGAAGAAGUAUUUCGAUAUGUAAAGCUCUAUCAGCAGGGAAGAAAAUGACGGUACCUGACUAAGAAGCACCGGCUAAAUACGUGCCGGCAGCCGCGGUAAUACGUAUGGUGCAAGCGUUAUCCGGAUUUACUGGGUGUAAGGGGAGCGUAGACGGAUGGGCAAGUCUGAUGUGAAAACCCGGGGGCUCAACCCCGGGCACUGCAUUGGAAAACUGUUGAUCUUGAGUACCGGAGAGGUAAGCGGAAUUCCUAGUGUAGCGGUGAAAUGCGUAGAUAUUAGGAGGAACACCAGUGGCGAAGGCGGCUUACUGGACGGUAACUGACGUUGAGGCUCGAAAGCGUGGGGAGCAAACAGGAUUAGAUACCC